GGGAAGCUCUACACGUAUUUUCCUUUGUAUACUUCAACAAUUGCUUUUAUAGAGUCAAAUUCGACUUGAUACGAUGACGAUCAAUCCGGAGAGUAUUACAUCGUCAAGCGACGGCAAUAACAACCUCCGAAGGCGGCGUAGCGGCGGCGGCGGCGGUGAUAGAUCUGUGAAUGAUGUGACGGAGUUGGAUUCGAGCUCUGUGGAUGCUUCGAGUAGCUCGGAUGAUGUAACGAGUGACGUCAUGGAUGGAAGUGGAAACGGAGGAUUGGAUAGGGUGAGUGAGGCUGUGAGUACGACGAUUGGGAAGAUUAGUGAUGGAGAUGGAAUUCAGGAGGAGCAGAGGAAAGCGAAUGAAACGACGCCGUUGAAGUAUGUUUAUAGAGCGUCGGCACCGGCUCACCGGCGGAACA
rnacentral:misc_RNA from 1 species